rnacentral:rRNA from 1 species
UGCGCAGGCGGGUUAGUAGGUCGGAUGUGAAAACCCCACGGCUUAACCGGGGGCCUGCAUUCGAAACCGCUAAUCUUGAGUACGAGAGAGGAGAGCGGAAUUCCUGGUGUAGCGGUGAAAUGCGUAGAUAUCAGGAAGAACACCGGUGGCGAAGGCGGCUCUCUGGCUCGAUACUGACGCUCAUGCACGAAGGCUAGGGGAGCAAACAGGAUUAGAUACCCUGGUAGUC